AUUGAACGCUGGCGGCAGGCUUAACACAUGCAAGUCGAGCGGGGGAGGUUGCUCUUGGGGAUUAGUGGCGAACGGGUGAGUAACACGUGAGUAACCUGCCCUGGACUCUGGGAUAACCCCGAGAAAUCGGAGCUAAUACCGGAUAGGACCUUGCACCGCAUGGUGUGGGGUGGAAAGUUUUUUCGGUUUGGGAUGGACUCGCGGCCUAUCAGCUUGUUGGUGAGGUAAUGGCUCACCAAGGCGUCGACGGGUAGCCGGGCUGAGAGGGUGACCGGCAACACUGGGACUGGGACACGGCCCAGACUCCUACGGGAGGCAGCAGUGGGGAAUAUUGCACAAUGGGCGCAAGCCUGAUGCAGCAACGCCGCGUGCGGGAUGACGGCCUUCGGGUUGUAAACCGCUUUUAGUAAGGAAGAAGGGGAGCUUGCUCCUUGACGGUACUUGCAGAAAAAGGACCGGCUAACUACGUGCCAGCAGCCGCCGUAACAC
rnacentral:rRNA from 1 species